rnacentral:rRNA from 1 species
CAACAGGGAUUGCCUUAGUAGCGGCGAGUGAAGCGGCAAAAGCUCAAAUUUGAAAUCUGGCACUUUCAGUGUCCGAGUUGUAAUUUGAAGAAGGUAUCUUUGGGUCUGGCUCUUGUCUAUGUUUCUUGGAACAGAACGUCACAGAGGGUGAGAAUCCCGUGCGAUGAGAUGACCCAGACCUAUGUAAAGUUCCUUCGAAGAGUCGAGUUGUUUGGGAAUGCAGCUCUAAGUGGGUGGUAAAUUCCAUCUAAAGCUAAAUAUUGGCGAGAGACCGAUAGCGAACAAGUACAGUGAUGGAAAGAUGAAAAGAACUUUGAAAAGAGAGUGAAAAAGUACGUGAAAUUGUUGAAAGGGAAGGGCUUGAGAUCAGACUUGGUAUUUUGUAUGUUACUCUCUCGGGGGUGGCCUCUACAGUUUACCGGGCCAGCAUCAGUUUGGGCGGUAGGACAAUUGCAAAGAAAUGUGGCACUGCCUCGGUAGUGUGUUAUAGUCUUUGUCGAUACUGCCAGCCUAGACUGAGGACUGCGGCUUCGGCCUAGGAUGUUGGCAUAAUGAUCUUAAGUCGCCCG